GGCGACGUGGCCGAGUGGUUAGGCACGGGUCUGCAAAACCCGGUACACCGGUUCGAUUCCGGUCGUCGCCU
rnacentral:tRNA from 1 species